CGGCUCGUCAGCUGGUGUCGGCUGUUGACUCUACUCAAGAUAGCUGGAGGCCCAGUCUCUCAUGUCGAUGGAUGAUACACCAUCAUGUUUGCGCCAUUUAGGGUUACACCUUCAAAGUCAAACUAAUUCAGAUGCUCGAACUGUAACUGAGACCUCUCCUUACAAACCACCAUCUUCUUCAGAGGGUAAAGGAGCAUAACCAAAUGGGGAAAAAAAUCAUGUUUCCAUUGGACAGAAGUCGCAGGUAGAUGACAGGUGGUGUGGCGAUGACAGCAAGCAGUUGUGGGCAGUAGUGCGAUCACGGAUCUUGGGAAAUCCACCGCUUUGAUUGUACGUGGCGCUCCCAUGACCCGCGGCCACAAACGCCAGGGACGUGAACAGGUCUCCUCCAGCUCAUCGCUUCCCUCUUCUCUUUCGUUUCACACGCUGUGACUACGUUUUUAAUUCAAAUGCCGGUCGAAAGAAAGUCCACGGGAGACAAGAACCGAGUUCAACUUAAAGUGCAACUCAGCCAACGGAACCCAACAGACCGCCAAGAGAACGUUGGCCUUCAUUUGUAAUGAACUGAAUAAGAUCCAACAAGACACGGCAGCUGGUGCAAGGGUCAAAGACUUUGUUAUCACCAGUGCCCGACUUCGUGAGUUCAACUGAUAACACCAAGAUUUCAGCAAGGAGAGACAAAGCCAUAUAUGUGCAGGUCACGUUCUGAAUGAAACAAUGAGAUGAAUAAAAUGGUCUUUCUAAUUUUUGUUCGAAGUUACAAGCAGCAACGCAUCAUCCCCAUCUUUCCUUUCUUCUCAUUUCUCACUAUCCCACUAUCUUUAGACACAUACACAUAUGUGCACACACUCAUGCACACAUGCACACAUGCACGCACUUUCAUACACAUACACACAUAAGCGCACACACACGCACGUACGCACGUUCACACACACAUGCACACAACAAAGCACACACAUCUGUAAAAAAUCUCUUCAUUUAGUUCUGACUCGCUUUAAUAAAUUCAGGCUAAAGUACAAGCAUUAUACGAUAGUAAAUACUAAAAUACUUAGAAACAACAGGAAAUAUUUUCAAAAGUAAAAAUAUUCAACCUGUAAGUCAUCUUCUUCGGUUAUAAAGAAUUUCAAAGGUCCGUCUUGCUGGGAUUCCGGUCGAAACCUUUUUAUUGAUGAUUUAUAUUAGGCGGUUUAUUAUCUAAACACACGUUUUCUUGGCAUUAAAAGUUUUUUUUUUUUAAAUAAUACAUUUUUUUUCAUUCUAUCGCUCAAAGCUCUGUACAAAAAGGACUGGAAAGAGAAGACCCAAAGUUUCAAAUACUUGAUUGAAUAUUAAACAAUUGCAGCAGUUAACGUAGCACAACGGAAACACUGAACAAGAAGAUAAACCCAAGCAUUCAAAAAAAAAAAAACCAGGUUCAA